rnacentral:lncRNA from 1 species
AGCAAUAGGCUAUAUCAUAUAGCCUAGGUGUGUGGUAAGCUAAACUAUCCAGGUUUCUGUGGGUACAGUCUAUGAUAUUUGCACAAUGACAAAAUCACCUACAUAUGCCAUUCUUAGAAUGUAUCUCUGUUGUUAAAUCACCUAUGCAUGCCAUUCUCAGAAUGUAUCUCUGUUGUUAAGUGACACAUGAGUAUAUACUAUUACAUCUUCCUUUGCAAUCUGGAUACUAACAGUUGUACUGUUUCUCAACUGUUGUGUCCUCAGCAUUGGGAGGAUGUUUUGAGCCAAAUAACUUGGGCCCAGCUUUCCAAAGUAAAACUAAUCUACUAACUGAAGAAACCUUAGGGCUGGAUAUUCAGCCCUUAAUUUGUAAAAGGAUAUUUGCAUAGCCCUUUGCUGGGUGAAGGAGAAGUAAGGGAAAGACUUCCAAAGGUCAGUUUCCCAGCCAGAUUACUGAGGAAUUCCAAUUGCUAAUGACCACAGGGUGGGCGACACAGUGGUACACUGGGUACACUGCCAGCUGACACUGGCCACACCUACACAGCAUCUCUGAAUGCAUGUGGUUAAAAUUUCCUGGUGAAUUUAGGAUCCAAAAAAGAAUUCUAGGUCUUCUGUCCAGGUAGAAGCAUCUAGUUCUGGCUUGUUGACUCUGUCCCUGCUUCAUCUUAUAUUUCUACCUCAUGCGCAUAUACAAUCAAAUGUGUUGAGUCUGGGAAGAGUAGAGAAAAGGUGGUACAAUGCCUGUCUCCCUAGGUGCAGUGGGUUAGCAGACCCUCUGGACAUGCGACCAGAUCAGAGACCAGGCCUAUGCGUCCACCAAAUAGGUGAUGGCGAUUGUUCAGGAUUUGUGCUCUGUGCUUGGUAUUUCAUCUUACUACAGAGGACAGACGAAAGAGCUGUGUAUUGGAGCCUGCAGAUGGAUGGGGAUGGAUAUGACAGUAGAUUUCUUCUUCUGAGAAUACACUUUCAACCUCUUGUUAACACAAUGGCAGUCUUUGCUCUUCACUUCCUGAGCUGACCCUGUGAGCAUUACCUAAUGCUUUCCUGAGCCUCUAGUUGCUUUGUAGUCAGUGAAGGAGAUGGCUUUCACCCUUAACGUCUCCAAAAGUAACUUUAGUUCCCAAAUACUUACUAAUUUGCAUUGGUUUCGGGUAGGCUGGACUCACACACCAUCUCUGCAGUGCAAUGCCAUGUUCACUUCUGAAAUCCCAAAACCCGAAAGGAUGGAUUCCCACUGAGACCUAUAGAGGAAAGCUGCUGAAGAGAAAGGACAGCAGAGAUACAAUUGCCUAUGUUGAGAGAUGCUCUUGAGUCCCAUAACAUACAACCUACCAGUUUUCUGCAACCCGAAAGCCCAGGGCUGGCACUAUAAUCUUAACUAGUCACUACAUAAGGCUUUUGUUUUUAUGAUGUCUAUCCAUAGUUAUAGUUCUUCAUUCCACAGAUGCGGAAAAACUGUGUUAUCCUUGAGAAUUUGAUAUCUCAGGACUGUGCAAUGUGGAUGUCCUCUGUCUCCCAGUAUGGUGUCCCACUCUGAUGGUAGACUGACAUCCAGCACCAUACAGCUGAGUUUACCCAGCCCAGGCAAAAACCUCAAAAAAUUGAAAAAAUAAAAUAAAAAUCAAAAUAAAAUAGUAGAGAAACAAUUUUUUUUUUAGGCAAAAAGUAUUAUCACCUAAAUUAACAACAGUCCUCAUCUUAUUCUCCACAGGAAAAAUAUCUAAACACAGGACCCUGCCUGCCCAGUGACUAAUCUUACUGACCCUCCUAGAUUUAACUAGGCUCACAGAUUCCUAAAAUUCUUCCAGUAUAAGAAGAGAUCAGCCUGCAGAAAUGCUUUAAAAUUGUUCCGAGGUUUAGAUACAAAAUUAAUCAGGUAAAGUGAGAGAAUGGAAGAUUUUAAGAGACAAUUCCUUCAGAUGAAAUAUUGGGCUGUGCAAAGGAGCUGCCUAAAACAUGACCUGCUUGAGGUGCUAGUGUUAUUUCAGCCUCAGUAGGAAGAUCUCAGAAGAUCUCACUUAUUAGCAUUUGCUAAAUGACAUUGACCUGCAGCAUAGGUGGGAGCAAAAAGAGGCAGUUUCACCUGGCUGCUAGCCCCAAUUCAAUAAGAAAUAUUUAUUACCAAACUGAAAUUCUUCUGAGAAAUCUCCUAAUCUGUAAUGUGGGAACAAUAACACCAGCUUGUGUACCUCACACAAGUUUCAGAAGAUAGAACAUGUUCAAGUGCUGUGCAUAUGUGUCCUAAUAAUUCACUGUAAUAAAAAUUGGGUCACCCCAUUCUAGAAAAGACACUCAUUUGCUGAUUUAUUUUAUAAGUAAAGGUCAGCUCUUCUACAAAUCCAUGUAGGAAUGUAGGAGAAAAAGAGAAACUAAUAUUUUGUAUUUCUGUUUCUUUCACUUCAAAUUGCAUUUUGUAACUAAUGUAAAAACUUUACAAGUGCUAUAAGAUCAUUGGGAAUAAACAAAAAAAUUCAGAGAUACCUCUUGUGGAAACUAAGCAAUGAUGAGCUCAUACUCUGUAGUUACCAGAGAGUCUCUCCCUUCAUUGUCUUGAACUAUUUCACAACUUUAUAAAUUGCAGGUAACUUAUAGCAAUGCAAAAUAAUUCUUGUUUAUUGAUAUACAAAUGAAUUAUGUGCAGUGACAUUUCUAGGGACUUCUCUCAAUCUGCACUGGGUUUAAUCCUGUUUCUGAAAACUUAGUAUCUACCUGGAAUCUCAGAAUGUGCUCUUAUUUGGAAAUAAAAUGAUGGCAAAUAUAAUUAAGUGAAAAUGAGGUCAUCCUGGAGUAAGGAGGUCCCUAAGUCCAAAGACUGUUUUUCUUAAUAAGAAGGCCAUGUAAAAAUGAGGGCAGACAUUGUAGUGACGCAACUUCAAGUAAAAAUACUAAAGACUACCGGCAAACAUCAGAAGUUAGGAGAGAUAGGAAACAGAUUUUUCUCAGAACUCACAGAGGAACCAACUUGGCAACACCUUGAUUUCAGAAUUCUAACCUCUAGGACUGUGAGACAAGAAAGUUUUUCUGUAUUAAGCCACCCGGUUUAUGGUGAUUUCCUAUAGCAGCUCUAGAUAAAAGCACAUUGACACCAUUUACAAAUUUCAUUUAUAUAAUUUCACCAUUCCUAUACUUCAUGUUAAAACUGAGCUUCAUUAACUUUUUUAAACUGCUUAUAACAUGUUACUGAUUUUUUCAUUUAUAAUUUAUUAAAUAAAUUUUAAUGUUUUAUGUUAAAUAAAAUUUUAAUAUGUAUUUUUUGUAUAUUUGUAUGAGCCAUGAUUUUAUCCAACCACAUUUGCAAAAAAUAUAACAAUGAGAAAAUUAUAACAGUAACAGAGAACUGAUCUAACCGUCUUGCCCUUAACCUACCUACUGCCCUUGUUCAUUCCUGGGCAUAAACUAACCUAACUUUGAGAAAAAUUUAGUCUAUAGUUUAAAGGAGAAUAGUCCUUCCCAAAACUAAAUCACCUUUGUAAAACAAUGAAAGACCACCAGGUUAGGACAAUGAGAGGGGCGUGAUCCUGCUAAGAUGUAGAUGUAGUUAAAUGAUUACUGGUCAUUAUUCUGGAGUUGCAAAUUCCCCAAUUACUCCUGUAAUUAACAUCACUUUUGUAGAACUUAAGACUGGCCUUUUGAUGUGUUUUUUCAAGUUUUGUCAUUUUUAACUACCAAAUGGCCCAACUAGACAGGCGACUCUAGACUCAGCCAGUCCUGUUUCUGCCUACCAGAAUUGAACUCAGCACAAGAGGACCACUUUCCACAUCCCUGUGAUUCCAUACCCAACCUAUCAGAAGCACCCAUUCCCUAGCCCCCACCUGCCAAACUGUCUUUGAUAAACCCUAGCCUCCAAGUUGAUAGGAAGGCUGAGUAAUAAUAAAACCCUAGGCUCCUAUUUAGCCAGCUCUAUGUGUAUUUAAUCUCUUCCUCUAUUGCAAUUCACCUACUGAAAAAUCAGCUGUCUCUGGGCUCUGGACAAAAUGAACCCAUUGGGUGGUUACAUCAAGAGUUGGAGGUUAAAAGAAAGAAAAAAGAGCAUCUCAGUGUUGUCAAAACUCAUUUUUGAAAAGAAACCCUUGUGAAGAAUAUUAAUGUAAAGUAGCUUUUUGAUUAUGUACUCUUCUGUUAUUCUGGAGAUCAGAUGCUGGUGUGUGUGUCCACUAUUUCCUGCUCUGGAUCCCUGAACUGUCUCUGACUCAUUCUUGGUCGGCUAAGUAUGAGGUCUCACUCUGUCAUGCAUGAUGGACUGCAGUGGUGCAAUCAUGGCUCACUGUAGCUUCGACCACCCUGGCUCCGGUCAUCAUCCUACCUCAGCCUCCCAGUGGUGUCAGUCAUCAACCUUGUGAUCACUGAGGAAAAGAUACAAUAAUCCUUGCCUAUCCGAACUGGGAUCCUAAAAAUUAUGGAACGAAUUGUAGAAACUCAAGCAACUUUCUCCAAAGCCUAGGGUUCAGCAAGAGUAAGCAAGAGGCACUGAGCCGCUGGAGUCUGCACAUUGAUAAAUUUACUUACAGUCGUAAAUAAAUUGCAUCAUCUUCAGCUAGUAACACAGAGUCUAAUUUUUAUAGCGGCAUACUUGCCUCCACGACUUUCCUAGACACCAGAAAGAAAGGCGAGAGCCAGCCUUAGCCUAAUCAAGAACCAUGAUCCAAAAAGGAGUGGGAGGAACCUAGCGGCCACGUGGGAAUCCCAGCCCUCCUAUUAAGCCUACCCUCUUUGCAAAUUGUGACUGUGAGCUCCUGGUUUACAGAAAUAUAUCCCAGAACUCAAGCAACAUGAGCCACUAUAAUUGUCUCUGGAAGGUGACCCAUUUGCAGAUAGGGACUUCCCUGAAGGUUGGGGCCCUCAUGAGCUAUGCUUUCCACCAAGUUGUCUCUAUAAGGACCAGUUCCAGGACCUCAGGGAGGAAAUUUCACUUUCUGCCUUGGUGGAAUGUGAAGUGAGUGGCUCCCCGGCCACACCCCACCCUCCAUAAAAUAGAAGGUAAAUCCCAACUGCCAAAAGCUUUUUGUCCUCCUCUCAGGGAUACUAAUUAAAGCAGUUGGGCUACUUUUUCAUGCAUUUCAUCUCAAGUUGUCUUUCUGCCUAUCUCCUGAGCCCAGCGAAAGAGUUCCUUAAAAUAACCCUCAAACCUCUGUAGUAAAGGACCACACAAAUAACGAAUGCCAUGAAAAAACAGGGCUAGAGGUUUCAGAGGAUGAGAAAGGAAGAGCAGCCAGAACACUGGCUGUCUAGGUAUGCUACUGGUGCCUGACUCUGCACCUGUGUGUGUCUGUGUGCUGUGUUCCAAUGGCAGAGCAUCGGGGCCACCAGAACUCUCUCAGCUACCGCACAUGGAGAGGGAGGAGUGAUAAAGAGAAAUCAAGAAACUCAGUUUCUUUGAAAUGGAAAUCAAUAAACUCAGUUUCCUCAAAGUUCAAAAUACAUGAGACUGCCUACCCUCCUUGGAAGGCAAGGUGGGGCUUUCUGAAGCAAAUACCAGCUUUAAAAAAAAAUGUAUAUAUAUAUGAAGAUAUAUACAAAAAAAAAAUUUCCCCACAACCAGACAAUCAGAAUCAUCAAACCCAGAAGGGUUAAAGAAAAAGAAAAGGCCCAGGAAAGUAUGAUUGGUGGGGAUCAAAAGUAUCUCUCCACAGUGGUAAAUGAGAAUUCUCAAAAAGAGUAAAAUUAUAAUUCUCAUGCACAUAUAAAAUAAAUAUGUAUUACAGAUUUUACUUAAACCAUAUAGCUCAAAAUUAGCUAACAAGGAAGACAUUAUAACCUGUUCAAAGAGAAGCCAAAGAAGGGAAAUUUAUAUGCUGUAAAGAAAUAUUUAAAGGAAUAUGGCAAAACUGACUCUUAAUAGGAGAUGCCCUAUGUGGUACAUAAUUUGUUUGUGUAUCUACACACAUGAAUUAUUUUGCACUUGUAUCACUAUCUACAACUUACACUGUUGUAAAGUAACUCCCACACAAUCAGAAUCAUAUAACCCAAAAAGGUAUCUUCCCUAACCAAACAAGGUUUUCCAAUAAAGCACUAUUUUGUCUCACAUUGCCAUAUUUUAAUGGCCUUUGAAAAUAUUAUUUCUAGAAAAGGGUUUGAAGGAAAUUUGGUUGGACUUGACUUUUGUACCCUUGUUAUCAUUAUCAUUAUUAUUAGUGGUAAUUGUAGUUCCCUGC